rnacentral:rRNA from 1 species
UACGUAGGGUGCAAGCGUUGUCCGGAAUUAUUGGGCGUAAAGGGCUCGUAGGCGGUCCAUCGCGUCGGGAGUGAAAAGCUGGGGCUCAACCCCAGUCCUGCUUCCGAUACGGGUGGACUAGAGGUAUGCAGGGGAGAACGGAAUUCCUGGUGUAGCGGUGAAAUGCGUAGAUAUCAGGAGGAACACCUGCGGUGUAGACAGCUUUCUGGACCACUUCUGACGCUGAGACACGAAAGCGUGGGUAGCAAACAGG